rnacentral:rRNA from 1 species
ACUGCUCAGUAACACGUGGACAACCUGCCCUUAGGUUGGGUAUAAACCCGGGAAACUGGGUAUAAUCCCCGAUAGGUCUCGAUUGCUGGAAUGCAUCGAGAUUUAAAGCUCCGGCGCCUAAGGAUGGGUCUGCGGCCUAUCAGGUAGUAGUGGGUGCAGCGUACCUACUAGCCUACGACGGGUACGGGUUGUGAGAGCAAGAGCCCGGAGAUGGAUUCUGAGACACGAAUCCAGGCCCUACGGGGUGCAGCAGGCGCGAAAACUUUACAAUGCUGGCAACAGCGAUAAGGGAACCUCGAGUGCCAGGUUACAAAUCUGGCUGUCGAGAUGCCUAAAAAGCAUUUCAUAGCAAGGGCCGGGCAAGACCGGUGCCAGCCGCCGCGGUAACACCGGCGGCUCGAGUGGUAACCGUUAUUAUUGGGUCUAAAGGGUCUGUAGCCGGCCGGAUAAGUCUCUUGAGAAAUCUGGCAGCUUAACUGUCAGGCUUUCAGGAGAUACUGUCUGGCUCGAGGCCGGGAGAGGUGAGAGGUACUUCAGGGGUAGGGGUGAAAUCUUGUAAUCCUUGAAGGACCACCAGUGGCGAAGGCGUCUCACCAGAACGGACCUGACGGCAAGGGACGAAAGCUAGGGGCACGAACCGGAUUAGAUACCCGGGUAGUCCUAGCCGUAAACGAUACUCGCUAGGUGUCGGCCACGGUGCGACCGUUGUCGGUGCCGUAGGGAAGCCGUGAAGCGAGCCACCUGGGAAGUACGGCCGCAAGGCUGAAACUUAAAGGAAUUGGCGGGGGAGCAC